rnacentral:rRNA from 1 species
UACGGGGGGGGCAAGCGUUGUUCGGAAUUACUGGGCGUAAAGGGCUCGUAGGUGGCCAACUAAGUCGGACGUGAGAUCCCUCGGCUUAACCGGGGGACUGCGUCCGAUACUGGUUGGCUUGAGUUUGGGAGAGGGAUGCGGAAUUCCAGGUGUAGCGGUGAAAUGCGUAGAUAUCUGGAGGAACACCGGUGGCGAAGGCGGCAUCCUGGACCAAUACUGACGCUGAGGAGCGAAAGCCAGGGGAGCAAACGGG